CCACCGCUCUCUUUCACAGCUUCUGGGUUGGGAGUGCAGUUUCAGGUCUCCCCCAAGGGUAGGGGCUACUUAACUUUCGAUGCCCAAUUUCACGGGGUCUGAGGAGGAAGAGGCAGGAGGGCGGGUUGGCACUCCAGAAGCGCGAGGGGGGUAUGGGGGUAACCCGACUGUAACCCGAGUGCCCUAGUGCCAUGGGAACCGCGUGUCUGACCCGCCCCCUGUGUGAAAAAUUCAGGAGCGGCUGGCGCUACGGCCUCCAACUGCUUUUGGGGACGGGAGCUGCCGCCGGUCAGGCCCCAGCAGCCUCCCCAGGAGCCCCGUGGCCAUGACACAGCUGCUUCUGUUCCUUGUGGCUCUCCUGGUUCUGGGUCAUGUGCCAUCAGGUAACAACAUCGUGUGCAUGUGUGUGUGUGUGUGUGUGCACAUGUGUGCUUGUAAAAAUGAGGACUAGACUCUCAGGUCCUGGAGGACAGAGGGGCCUCUAUCAGCAUUUAAGUUCUGGCCCCACCACUGACUUGGUGGGCAACUUAGAGCAAGUUGCUAAAUCAGCCUGUACCUCAGUUUCCUAAUCUAUAAAAUGGGAUUCUCUCAAUAAAUAUUCAUUUAUGUUAUGAUGGUUGUGAAAUAAUAACAGUGAAAGACAUGUAGCAGUGAAAGAAAAGAAGGUCCUUGCUUUCAUGCAGCUGACACUUUAGUUGGUGGAGAUAGAAAAUAAGUGGAUAAACAUAUGUUGGGUGGUGAUAAGUGCUGAGAAGAGGAAAGGCAAGGGAAGGGGUUAGAGUGGUGUGUGCAUGGAGGGGGUGGGGAUGGGAAGGCUGAUGAGGAUGGACAGAGAAGGUCUCUGAUAAGAUUUGUUUCUUUUGCCUCUCCCCUCUCCCCUCUCCCCUCUCCCCUCUCCCUUCUCCCCUCUCCCCUCUCCCUCUCGGUCUCCCUCUCCCUCUCUUUCCACUGUCUCCCUCUGAUGCCGAGCCGAAGCUGGACUGUACUGCUGCCAUCUCGGCUCACUGCAACCUCCCCGCCUGAUUCUCCUGCCUCAGCCUGCCCAGUGCCUGCGAUUGCAGGCGCGCGCCACCACGCCUGACUGGUUUUCGUACUUUUUUGGUGGAGAUGGGGUUUCGCUGUGUUGGCCGGGCUGGUCUCCAGCUCCUAACCGCGAGUGAUCCGCCAGCCUCGGCCUCCCGAGGUGCCGGGAUUGCAGACGGAGUCUGGUUCACUCAGUGCUCAAUGGUGCCCAGGCUGGAGUGCAGUGGCGUGAUCUCAGCUCGCUACAACCUCCAUCUCCCAGCCGCCUGCCUUGGCCUCCCAAAGUGCCGAGAUUGCAGCCUCUGCCCGGCCGCCACCCCGUCUGGGAAGUGAGGAGCGUCUCUGCCUGGCCGCCCAUCGUCUGGGACGUGAGGAGCCCCUCUGCCUGGCUGCCCAGUCUGGAAAGUGAGGAGCGUCUCUGCCCCGCCGCCAUCCCGUCUAGGAAGUGAGGAGCGCCUCUUCCCGGCAGCCAUCCCAUCUGGGAAGUGAGGAGCGUCUCUGCCCGGCCGCCCAUCGUCUGAGAUGUGGGGAGCGCCUCUGCCCCGCCGCCCCGUCUGGGAUGUGAGGAGCGCCUCUGCCAGGCUGCGACCCCGUCUGGGAGGGAGAAGUGAAUUCAAACGGUGCUGGAAGGGUCAAGGGGCCUGCCAAACUUACUGCACAAGGCAAGAAACUUACAUGCACCUGUGCCCGGAUGCGUCCCUGUGCUGUCUCUCCUAUGCAUUGAAACCUCCACCGGUCCCCAAGCAUGAAUAUGAGUAGCUGGUUCCUGCUGUCCAAUAAAACACAGGUCCUCACUCUGUUGCCCAGGCUGGAACACAGUGGAGAUCGUAUAGCUCACUGCAGCCUCACACUACUGGGCUCAAGCAAUCUGCCUCAGCCUCCGAGGAACUAGGACUAUAAGUGUAUGCUGCCAUACCUGGCUAAUAUGUUUUUGAUUUGUUUGUUUGUUUUGUAGAGAUGGGGUCUUGCUAAAAACAAAAACAAAAAACAAAAAACAAACAAACAAAAAACACGGGGUCUUGCUAUGUUUCCCAGGCUGAACUUCUGGGCUCAAGUGAUCCUCCUGCCUUGGCCUCCCAAGUUGCUGGGAUCACAGGUGUGAGCUGCCACAGCUGGCCUAUCUUUGCCUUUUCUAUAAGGUAACUAAGACUCUAUAAGGCAACUAAGAAAGUUGCCCAGGUCAUAAACCUAGGAAGUGGUGGAGCUGGAACUCUAUCCUGAUCCUCUGCCACCUGAUUUUGUCUCCCAGAGUCAGUCUUUUUUUGGAGACAGUCUUGCUCUGUUGCCCAGGCUGGAAUGCAGUGGUGCAAUCAUGGCUCACUGCAGCUCUGAACUCCCGGGCUCAAGCAGUCCUCCCACCUCAGCCUUCCCAGUAGCUGGGACUGUAGGCGUGCACCACCAUGCCUGGCUAAUUUUUAUAUUUUUUGUAGACACAAAGUCUUGCUAUGUUGCCC
rnacentral:lncRNA from 10 species